rnacentral:piRNA from 1 species
UACAUCAUUGCCUAUAGUCAGCA